CAGGGCGAUUUGAAUAGCCCACCAUCUGAUGAUGGUGGGCUAAAAAUACAUGUAUAUCUAACAGUAGGUUAUCUCGGGUAAUGUGAUUGUGGUCAGAAGGCAUCAGUUAAACCCCUCCAGAUGAAGUGAUUGUGGUCAGAAGGCAUCAGUUAAACCCCUCUAGGUGAUGUGAUUGUGGUCAGACAGCAUUAGUUAAACCCCUCUAGGUGAUGUGAUUGUGGUCAGAAGGCAUUAGUUAAACCCCUCUAGGUGAUGCGAUUGUGGUCAGGAAGAAUCGGUUAAACCCCUCUAGGUGAUGUGAUUGUGGUCAGAAGGCAUUAAACCCCUCUAGGUGAUGUGAUUGUGGUCAGGAAGAAUUAGUUAAACCCCUCUAGGUGAUGUGAUUGUGGUCAGAAGGAAUUAGUUAAACCCCUCUAGGUGAUGUGAUUGUGGUCAGGAAGAAUCGGUUAAACCCCUCUAGGUGAUGUGAUUGUGGUCAGACAGCAUUAGUUAAACCCCUCUAGGUGAUGUGAUUGUGGUCAGAAGGCAUCAGUUAAACCCCUCUAGGUGAUGUGAUUGUGGUCAGACAGCAUCAGUUAAACCCCUCUAGGUGAUGUGAUUGUGGUCAGAAGGUAUUAGUUAAACCCCUCCAGAUGAUGUGAUUGUGGUCAGGAAGAAUCAGUUAAACCCCUCUAGGUGAUGUGAUUGUGGUCAGACAGCAUCAGUUAAACCCCUCUAGGUGAUGCGAUUGUGGUCAGAAGGCAUUAGUUAAACCCCUCCAGAUGAUGUGAUUGUGGUCAGGAAGAAUCAGUUAAACCCCUCUAGGUGAUGUGAUUGUGGUCAGAAGGCAUUAGUUAAACCCCUCUAGGUGAUGUGAUUGUGGUCAGAAGGUAUUAGUUAAACCCCUCUAGGUGAUGUGAUUGUGGUCAGAAGGCAUUACUUAACUUAAACCCCUCUAACUCAAAACUGUUGGGUUAUUGAAAAGACGGCAAUACAGGAUAAAGAUUCAAUCCUAAUCAUUUCAUCCCUCAUAAUUUCAGUGUUUCAAAACGAUAAAUUUCAGCUUUGAACAGAGUAAAAAAAAAAAUUAACAAGGGUUUUUCAUUUGAUAAUCUUCCAAUAUAUUUAUUGGAAAAAUACCUCUUUAUUUGAAUGUUUUCAACAUGUUAAAUGUUAUUUGCUGCACAUUAAACAUAUUUUUCACUUUCGAAUCUAUUCUUCUUGCCUCUAGAUGCCUCCUGUAUUCUGACAGAUUGUGGUAUAUACUGGUAUUAACGUCAUUUUAUUCAGAAG